UUAUAACACUUUCCUCAAAAUGAAGCAUCUUGUGUCAAAUUUAAGAAUUAGCACUAACUUUAAAGAGGCAUUGUUUCACUACUGAGUGGUGAAACAGUACUCCAGAAUGUCAUGUAAUAAAAUAUGCAUUUAUUUCUGAAAAUGGUAUUUCAAACACGCACGACUCACAGGAAGUGCUUAAUAAAAAUGUCUCAAUGAAUGUGAAAAUAUGAAUACUUUCCGUAUUAGUCAGGAUCCUCCAGAGCUAGCAACAAAAUAUAGAGAGGCAAGUAUAAACAGAAAUAAGGUUUAUUAUGUGAGACAAGUAGCAAAUGUCUGCUUCUGGCCAGCCACAUAGUUGGCCCUUGCCUUAAAGAAAUCCUGUUUGC
rnacentral:lncRNA from 1 species